rnacentral:rRNA from 1 species
GAUGAACGCUAGCGGGAGGCUUAAUACAUGCAAGUCGAGCGGUAAGGUUUUCGGACCCUAGAGCGGCGAACGGGUGAGUAACGCGUACGAAACCUACCUUUAAGAGAGGGAUAGCCCUGGGAAACUGGGAGUAAUACCUCAUAGUAUUCAAUAACCGCAUGGUUUAUGGAUUAAAGCUGCGGCGCUUAAAGAUGGUCGUGCGUCUGAUUAGCUAGUUGGUAGGGUAACGGCCUACCAAGGCUACGAUCAGUAGGGGGCGUGAGAGCGUGGCCCCCCACAUGGGUACUGAGACACGGACCCGACUCCUACGGGAGGCAGCAGUAAGGAAUAUUGGGCAAUGGACGGAAGUCUGACCCAGCCAUCCCGCGUGCAGGACGAAUGCCCUAUGGGUUGUAAACUGCUUUGUACAGGAGAAACACUGGUUCGUGAACCAGCUUGACGGUACUGUAAGAAUAAGGAUCGGCUAACUCCGUG